rfam:Ictidomys tridecemlineatus contig076356, whole genome shotgun sequence.
UGGGGUGUAGCUCAGUGGCAGAGUAUAUGAUCAGCAAGCACAAGGCCCUGGGUUUUAUCCCCAGCAUCACAA